UACAGAGGGUGCGAGCGUUGUCCGGAAUCACUGGGCGUAAAGGGCGCGUAGGCGGCUCAGUAAGGUUGCGGUGAAAGCCCGGGGCUCAACCCCGGGUCGGCCGUGGCAACUGCUGGGCUAGAGCACUGUAGAGGCAGGUGGAAUUCCAGGUGUAGCGGUGAAAUGCGUAGAUAUCUGGAGGAACACCGGUGGCGAAGGCGGCAUCCUGGACCAACACUGACACUGAGGAGCGAAAGCCAGGGGAGCAAACGGG
rnacentral:rRNA from 1 species